rnacentral:rRNA from 1 species
UGAGGAAUAUUGGUCAAUGGGCGGUAGCCUGAACCAGCCAAGUCGCGUGAGGGAUGACGGCCCUACGGGUUGUAAACCUCUUUUAUAAGGGAAUAAAGGACAUCACGUGUGAUGUUUUGCAUGUACCUUAUGAAUAAGCAUCGGCCAACUCCGUGCCAGCAGCCGCGGUAAUACGGAGGAUGCGAGCGUUAUCCGGAUUCAUUGGGUUUAAAGGGUGCGUAGGUUGCCGAUUAAGUCAGCGGUGAAAGUCAGUGGCUCAACCAUUGAACUGCCGUUGAAACUGGUUGGCUUGAGUACGUACGGGGCAGGCGGAAUGCGUGGUGUAGCGGUGAAAUGCAUAGAUAU